GCUCAAUAUGACUCAUUACUCUGAAUGUUCUUAAGUUUGGGUAUGGAGACUCAGUGCCUAAAGCUUGCGUAUUUGAAAAAAAUACAGCCACACCUCUACUAGGAGGGCAACAUGCUCUGUACUGAUGGAUCCACAAAGCCCAGCUCUGCCAUUAGGGAGGCUCAGAGGGAGCUUUGAG
rnacentral:lncRNA from 1 species